UGAACCUUGAAAUGUUGAUCACAUGACCGCUCUCUCAACCAACCAACGUUCGGGAACCUGUGUAAACGUCAAAGUACGAAAUUAUAUAAGAUUAAAUGUGAUUUAUU